AGGUGAUCGUUUCCAUAUUAUGGAAGGCUUGAGAAUGACUGACAAGAUCUGCUUUUGCAGCUCUUAUUUCUGCCAACCAAAUUACUGAGGACAAGAGUGAAUAGUGCAUAUUUAGAAAAUGUAUUUUUAAAGUUGGGCUUUGGCUGAACAGUAACUUCAUGAGAAAGUGAAGCCUCCCCUUCCCAACUAGCUGUGACUGAAAUACAGCAAAUGAAGUAGGGGGAAAAAAGGAAUGUAGUAAAGAAAUUAAGCUAUAUAGCCAAAAAGAAGUUUCACCAGACAUGCACCAGCACCCUGCACCCUCUUCACAGGCUUGGGAUCAAAGCUGGGUGCUCAUAUCCGAGGGCUGAUUAGCCCUUUCCCGAUUAACUCUUUCCUCCCACCCUGGCUACCUCCCACACAUCAGAUAUUUGACAGUCCCCUCCUUAUCUGCUUUUGCUGCCAGGUGGUCUGGCAUUCACUUAUCAUGGCCUCAGAGGACUCUAUGCAGCACGGGGGAUUGGAAAAAACAAACCAAAUUCUUCUUCUGAGCCAGGCAGGCAAAGACACUGAGAACUGGAUCAUUUGCCUUUGUUAUUCAUACCGGAACAGAGAAAGAGCCAUAGGAUCUGAAAACUGUGGUCAGUUCAGACACCAAACGUAUUCAAAAUGCAACCUGGAAAUAAAAGGCAUCCUGUGGAGGAGAGGUUCCUGGCGGCUCUGAACUCGUGUAUGCUGGGAAGGUCAGGCUCUGGUGGGACCACCAAAGCCCAAGAGUCACCAAAAGAAGCAGACCUACAGCCAGCACUCCAGCAGGAAGCUGCUUCUCCCUGGGAGUCCCCCAGCUCCAGACGGCGGUCACAGCCACAGCAGAGGGGCCGCUGCCAUCCCCUGCACGCCAACACGCAUCCCGUAGGGCGAGGGUGUUUCUUGUAAGUUCAUUUUCUGAUCUGGGCCAGCAAAGUUGGCCAGUUGAUCUGGUUGUAACAGUGGUGGCCACCUUCUGCCUUCCUCCAGCCCAUGUGAGGAGGAUGGCCAUGGAGAUGUUACUCUGAGCCUGAACCAAGAGCUGGCUGCCCAGGAUCUCAGACGUCCUUCCUGUGAAGCAUUCAGGAAGAGCUGCAACACCUCUGAGACAGGAACAACUGCCCCAGGCACACCUCUGAAGGCAGUGGCAGGCAGAGGCAAAUAGCACCAGCCUCUCUGGGUGCCUGCCAACAAGAAAAGCAGCAGGAGCUGACACUGCCAUUGUGGGAGCUUUUUUUCAACAUGAUCCUUUAGCAGUCCGUUCCCCAGGAUAGUUAACUAUUAUACUUAAACACCAUGCAUCUGCAUGUGUCUCCCAAUACUACUGCUACCGCAAAUAGUAAACAGGAUCAUCUUUUGUAUCUUUUCUGUAAUACAUCAUUUUUUACCUUGCUGUGCUCUUCCUCUUUCUUGUCCAUUAUCUAAAAUGCAUGCUGUUAUCCCUGAUUGCUCUUCAAAGAAAUUUUUGACACCCUCUUCAGUCUCCCUGAGCUCUGAGCAGGACUUACACUGUUUUCUAAAUGUCAGGUCACCAUCGGUUCCUGUUAAAAAAAGUAUUUUUUAUUCCACACGUAAGGAUUGUGGAAUUGGACGCAGCUUUUAAAAUGCUUUCUUCUAUUACCAAUAAUCUGUCUGCUUUUUUAUGUGGCUCCUACUGUCAUAAUAUGCAAAUAUCAACACCAUUCUUCUUUGUAACAACACAGUGGGGAAAGAAAGUGUUCUUAGUCACUCUGCAGAAGAACAGGUGCCAAGAGACUUAGGUUCUGGUCCAGAACAAUAUGUGGGCUCCAUUUCCUACUGCCAUUGGUGUCUGUGACAGUCUAGAAGUCUAAAGUCUUCAUUUAAUUGGACUUUUUCAAGAUAUGAAAAAAUUAUAGUCCAGAUGAGAAUUGAAUAUAUGUAUCUGUAUGCAUAAAUAGCUACCUUGUAUUACUAACCAAACACAGUAACCACAGGUGUGACCAUUUCUUGGUCACAGUCUUUAAAAAUGGUCUUUUCCUAAAUAGCUUUCCCACCAUCGCUGUCUGUUUCAUGAGCCCUUGCAGCUCUGAAGGUGAAAGAAUCUCUGUUUGUAGUCGUAACUACUAUUGCUUAUGGAGGGGAAAAUACCUGAGUGUUGUAAGUAAUGGUCAUGGGGUCAGGAGGACAGGAUAGGUCACAGAUGUAACUUAAGGGGCUUACGUUAAAGGAAGAGUAUUUCUAAACUCUGAGAUUAGAUAUUACGGUAAAAAUGCUCCUUUCCCUUUUCACUGUGUAAACAGUAAGUAAGCACAAAAAAAUAUAAAUUCUAGCUUAUUAGGAGCAAUGGUAACAAAGUAAUGAUUUUAAUGCACUUAAAAAAA